rnacentral:rRNA from 1 species
GAUGAACGCUGGCGGCGUGCUUAACACAUGCAAGUAGAACGGUGAACGAGGGAGCUUGCUCCCUCCGGAUCAGUGGCGAACGGGUGAGUAACACGUGAGCAAUCUGCCCUGGACUCUGGGAUAAGCGUUGGAAACGACGUCUAAUACCGGAUACGAGGCGUGGGGGCAUCCCCAACGCCUGGAAAGAACUUCGGUCCAGGAUGAGCUCGCGGCCUAUCAGGUAGUUGGUGAGGUAAUGGCUCACCAAGCCUACGACGGGUAGCCGGCCUGAGAGGGUGACCGGCCACACUGGGACUGAGACACGGCCCAGACUCCUACGGGAGGCAGCAGUGGGGAAUAUUGCACAAUGGGCGAAAGCCUGAUGCAGCAACGCCGCGUGAGGGACGACGGCCUUCGGGUUGUAAACCUCUUUUAGCAGGGAAGAAGCGAAAGUGACGGUACCUGCAGAAAAAGCACCGGCUAACUACGUGCCAGCAGCCGCAGUAAAAC